CCUUCCUCAGAUCAAUGCCCUGGCCACUCACUUUCUGAUGUUGCACGACGGGAAAUGCUUUGAAUACUUGCGACAUGGCCGCUCACAUUGAUUGCCAAGAUUGACAGCUCUGCGUCGUCUUCUCUUGUCUCCGAGAGAGAGGGAGAUAAAGAGGAUAGAUAACAACAAAAGCUCCUUGCAGUUUUGACAAUUAAACUUCAUAGAAAGAACGGGAUCCCCUCAUAUAGCCAGUGGGAACCACAGCAGACUUUAGUUCUCUUUCCUUUUUUCUACAGAUAGUAAUCGUUAUGUUUUAACAUAAUAUAGCGCGAAACACACGACUCGGGAUACGAUACCGUCAGGACCUGCAUCUCUCUUUUCUCGGCUGAUCUCAAGGACUAUCUGCACGUGGACUUCAGAGGAACUUGUGGUUUUGCGAGAGAGAAAAACAUUUCCGAACUGGAUCCGGCAUAAAGAUAUCGACUCCCUGACGCAUAUGGUGCCAGUCACUUUCAUGAGUUCAAAAUCAACUAACCAGUGAUUGCUGGGUGCUGGGGGUUUAGUCUUUCUGUUUGUAUGACCUGUGUGUGAUGUUCCAAAGGCCUGCUCCACUCCCCUGUGCUCUUCUUUCAGCCAGACCUGACACACUCAUUCAUCUAAAUCCUAUGCAACUUGAAUCUACAUGUUUAAUUCAUCAUAAAACGAGGCGGUGAGUCAUUUUGACGGUGUGUGGCUUCUUUUGCUGGACGAUGUAUUUCAUCACUCCUGUGUGAACUCAUUUGGAAACACCCAAGUGUGGAGGGCCGAAUGUGCUCUUUGUCAGUGUGUGUCAUCAUGUAAUAAGUGAUGGACACACAGCAGUCACUCUGGGCUUUGCUCAGUCCAGCACUGAUGCCCCUCAUGGGGACGAUCUGCUGGAGAUGUUUUCUGAGAAAUUAAAUAAACAGCACUUCACCACAAAAUGAAAAUGAAUAACCUUUGGUUGGUUAUCUUCUCAUCUAUUAUGUAUCAAAUGGGCCUGUUGGUUCAGCCAACUGACACUGCCUGCACUGAUUAUGACCCGUGGUGUAGAUAAACGGAGACUGCUUGACAAAGUUAUUUUAAUUUCAUCAGCCUUGGUUUCAAUUGCUCCAGAGGAACACUGGGAAUAUUCAAAUUGAUUGUUGGCAGAUUUCUUUAUCUGUCAGGAAAGAGUUUCCGUACAGGUAUGUAGAUACAGUAUGCCUCCAUUCCCUAACGCCAUAUAACCCUGAUAGAUCCUGUUAGUUGUAAGGUUUGGUGACAUUGUGUCUAACCCCUUUAGAUAUGACAAUUUUUCAAUCCCCUCUGUAUGAGCUGCCAUCCCAGCAACAUGCUGUUGUUAUCGGGAUUAUACCCUCCUAUCAGCUUUAUUAGAUAUGAGGCCUGAUUUGAUGGCUUGAUGUGCUUUAUUUGAUUCUCUGUAGAAUGAAACCUAGUAUGGACUUGGCUGCUUUCCUUCCUCUCAAGUUGCAGCCCUUGUAGGACAGAGAGAAGUUUCASCUAUUAGCUAUAUACUGCAGAAAACGGGACCUGAGAACAUGCCAUUAAUCUUCUCGCUUCCCCAGCUGUGGAAAGUAAUGCAUAACUAAAUGUCUGGUCAAAUGAAUUAAUGAUUUCAACCAUGAACUUUUCUCCCAAAACGCCAUGAAUCGUCUCCGGCUGAUAAUGCGCUCCGACCCUGGAGUGUGAAAUGCCCGUUGCGUUGAGAGUAUCCAGUUAAUUGAUUCGGAAAUUAUUUUAAGUUUGUGGAGCCCAGGGGAGUGCUGGGCUCUAAUGACGGCCAUUUCGGGAGAGUUUAAAACUCUUUCUUUCCAUGCCUGGGUUGGAUUGGAUUUAGCUAACAAGCCCAAUCAAAGCCCGGGAGAGGGGAGAGUGACAGGAGGGAGAAGGCCUCCACGGGUCCCAUGUAUCUACUUUCUCCCUACCCCGCAACCCCCAAGCCCUGUCUGGAGGGGGAUGCUGGGAAGGGAUCUCUAAAGUCCCCCCAUGGUUACGAUGUUUAUUAUUUGAGUUAUGUAAAAGGUGCUACCGCAUUUAAUGUACUUUUGUUUAGGCUAUCUUUGUCAAUACAGUACAGAAAAAAUCAUUUUGUUGGAUAUAAUUAUUCUCUCCUCGUGGUGUAAUUCUCCAGGGUUUUUGUCUUUCUUCUAGGGGUCAUUCACUUGUAAGCAUCAACAUACAUUUUUUGCUGUAAACUUACAUUUACAUUUCUGAAGAAGUUAGACACCAAAACUAAUGGGGAAUGAUUGACUUGGACAUAGUAUAAUGUCAUUACUCUUUAAGUUAAUUACAUGGCUUCACUGUGACUGGCUUUAAUUAAGAUGAGAAGAAUGAAGGUUGAGAACAGCUCACAGUGAGUAAGCAUCGUCAGUUGAUCUUUCUGAGAAAUCAGCUGCCACUGUCUGAAAUAACCACCCUGCCUAAUUGAUCUCAACACGAAUGUACUGUAAGCUCAGUAAAGUUGUUUCCUUGUUUGUCCUGGAGGGUGGAGCGGGGUUGGAGGAUCCUAAACCUGUGUUAAUGUCUGCAUUAUGCUCAGAUGGUCUUGCUGUAGUGUAGCCCGACCCAGUAGCUAGCGUCCGUUACUCCCCCACUAAGUGGCUGGAUCUCUGUGCUAAUACCAAGGAGCCUGUAAUCUGRGCCCAUUAGCAGGCGCUGUCAUUCAGACACACUGUGUCGGCCUGAUUUAAAUAAAAUGAAAUGAAGAUGGUUGUUUCUGGUCCCUUGGCUUCAGUCAUUGCCAUAAACAUAUGCUCCRUGCCCUGCUUCUCUCCAUCUUAUUUCUCAUUUUAAUUUGUUGUGUGGGCUGUGCUAGAAAUCACAUUUAAUACAAUCCUCCCAGGGACUCUGUCAUAUAAUAACAUGGUAAUUUCUGUGUAUCCUUUUGAAAAAUGARGAAAUKAAUUCUUCCUGACAUGUUGUAAUUAUUCCAGUGUGAACGCUGGAUAGGCUCCCUCCCCAGCYCCCUCCCCAG